UAUCAGUUCCCAGCAGCUGGUGACUUUGCCAGCUCAAUGGAGUUAAAUGCAAAAGUAAAAUUAACUGCGCAUUGUGAGAACAAAUGAUAAUGGAAGAGUAAAAGGAAACAAAGAAAAGGCUUUUAGAUCCUCUGCAUGAAAACAGAUAUCAGGAAUGUAAUGAGCAGUGUAUCCAACCAUUAUAUUUUAAUGUAAAAGAUGUGGAAUGUUGGAAAACCAACAACACUUGGGAAGAAAUUUCAGUAAAUGUGGCAUUAAUGGAGGGCCCUACAGGGGGACCUGGUGGUGCUGGGGCAGCCAGGCCUGGGAUCAGCAAUGGGAGUCCAUCACGGAGCACAAAGUGAGCUCAAACUGCCCUUGGGAACACAGCCAUUUCUCUUGCUGAAUGGCAUCGAAAUACCAAGCUCCAAAGCUUCAAAAUAUUGAUGGCAUUAUUAAAAAGGGACCUUUAAUUUUGCAUUAAGAACAUUUUAGCAUCGGAAUACUGGAAUUAAAUUAUGUAUGAGCCCCAGCCGCAGUGCUCUGCUGGAAUUAGUUAACAGUUUGCUGCUCUGCACUUAAGGUGUAAUUGAGCCUCCUGCACAGAAGGGCUGACGGGGUGCUUGUGGGGAGCUGCAGCCAUCCCUUAAAACAAAGGAACACAUUCGAUGCUCACAAGUAAGCAUGAAAAGUUAUAAAGCAAACUGGUGAGCCAGUUUGGGAAGCUGACCCUAAGGAGAGCUGCAGCAAAGGGCACAGCUUGCACUCUGAUCAUAGAAUCCUAGAAUGGCCUGGGUUGCAAAGGAGCACAGUGCUCAUCCCGUUCCAACCCCCUGCUAUGUGCAGGGUCGCCAACCAGCAGCCCAGGCUGCCCAGAGCCACAUCCAGCCUGGCCUUGAAUGCCUGCAGGGAUGGGGCAUCCACAGCCUCCUUGGGCAACCUGUUCAGUGCGUCACCACCCUCUGGGGGAAAAACUUCCUCCUCAUCUCCAACCUAAACCUCCCCUGUCUCAGUUUAAAACCAUUCCCCCUUGUCCUAUCACUGUCC
rnacentral:lncRNA from 1 species